rnacentral:misc_RNA from 1 species
GGUCGAAGAAAAGGAUCUCGGAGAUUUUGUAUCGCUUCAUGCUGCUGAGAUUGUGGAGCUGGACGAUGAUGUUGGCGGGGAGGCCGUGGGAGUCCCACUCCGGGCCGCCGCCGGUCUGCUCCUCCUCCUUCGCGUUGGCGGCUCUGGGGGAGAAGAGGCGGGACCAGAAAUUGCCGCCCCCGCCGGAGCCGGAGCCUCCGGCUCCACCGCCGCCGCCACCGUUGCCGCCCCAGCCGCCGCCGGAUCCGGGAUUGUUGGGGGGAGGGGAGGCGAGAUGGAAGAUGAGUCCAGCUCCGGCGGCAGCUGCGACGGUGGCCGCAGCGGAGGAGGCGGCUAGGGUUAGGGUUUUGCGGGGUUUAGAGGUGGGGGUU